AGAUUAGUGUUGUUGCACUAUCGAUAGUUUCGCUAUCGAUAGUUGACCUUGAAAAACAGUCGAUAGCGCGAACAUCAUAUCGAAAAUAUCGACAUGCUGAAAUACUAUCGAUACUAUCGAUAGUAUCGAUAGCAAAAAUAAGGCGAUUCUAUUGUUAAUUAUCAAUAGUAUCGAUAGUAUCGAUACUGUCGAAGUAUGAUACUAUCGAUACUUUCAAUAGUAUCGAUAGUAUUACCUCAAAAUAGUCGAUACUAUCGAUACUAUCUACGAUAUAUCUACGCGCUUCGAUAGUAUCGAUAGUGUUGAUUUAAAACUAUCGACUAAUUUUCGAUAGUAUCAACGAAAUGAAAGAAGAGAUGUUUAAGAAAUAUGGAUACGCAAAGUACGUUUCAAAUAAGCACAGAUUCGAAACAUGGAGUAAAACGCACUGUGGACAAUUGGACUCAAACGCGAGAAGCCAAUAUAACUAUUCCCGAAAGAGGGUCCGAAAAUAUGCUGUCCUAUUCGACUCGUAACUUACCAUAUGUUAACUACUAUAGCAAUCGACAAAUAUUGGAUCCUCGCAAUGAAGAUAUGGCCCGCAUAUUACUAUAUGAAUUAGAGCGUCUCCCCGAAAACCUUCGUAUCACGGCAUUUACCACGAUGUUCAACGAAAUAAAAAAGCUACAAGGUGAAGUUUCCUCUAAUGAGACCGAUUCAAAAAAGAAUGCAAAAGAAAAUUUAAAAUUAACAAUCAUGAAAAACUUGAAAAGAUUACAUGGCGAUAAUUCAGAAUAAUAAAUACUUUUUGCAACUCAAGUUUUACAUAGUCAAAAGCUCAUGAAGAAAAGACCUUGUUCUGCCUAAAAUAGUUUCUAUUUUGUCAUGCUUUAUGUGUUCGCAACUAUGCAAUUAGUUAUUUAAUUUGAGUGAGUAAAAACUUUUUUUUUUACUUAAGUUUUUUACCAAACUCAAUA